rnacentral:rRNA from 1 species
UACGAAGGGGGCGAGCGUUGUUCGGAUUUACUGGGCGUAAAGGGCGCGCAGGCGGCGGACCAAGUCAGGCGUGAAAGCCCCGGGCUUAACCUGGGAGGUGCGUCUGGGACUGGUAUGCUAGAGUUCGGGAGAGGAGAGUGGAAUUCCCAGUGUAGAGGUGAAAUUCGUAGAUAUUGGGAAGAACACCGGUGGCGAAGGCGGCUCUCUGGACCGAGACUGACGCUGAGGAGCGAAAGCGUGGGGAGCGAACAGG